rnacentral:rRNA from 1 species
UACGAAGGGGGGCUAGCGUUGCUCGGAAUUACUGGGCGUAAAGCGCACGUAGGCGGCUUUCUAAGUCGGGGGUGAAAUCCUGGAGCUCAACUCCAGAACUGCCUUCGAUACUGGAGAGCUCGAGUCCGGGGAGAGGUGAGUGGAACUGCGAGUGUAGAGGUGAAUUCGUAGAUAUUCGCAAAGAACACCAGUGGCGAAAGGC